rnacentral:rRNA from 1 species
AUUGAACGCUGGCGGCAGGCCUAACACAUGCAAGUCGAGCGGAUGAAGGGAGCUUGCUCCUGGAUUCAGCGGCGGACGGGUGAUUAAUGCCUAGGAAUCUGCCUGGUAGUGGGGGAUAACGUCCGGAAACGGGCGCUAAUACCGCAUACGUCCUGAGGGAGAAAGUGGGGGAUCUUCGGACCUCACGCUAUCAGAUGAGCCUAGGUCGGAUUAGCUAGUUGGUGGGGUAAAGGCCUACCAAGGCGACGAUACGUAACUGGUCUGAGAGGAUGAUCAGUCACACUGUAACUGAGACACGGUCCAGACUCCUACGGGAGGCAGCAGUGGGGAAUAUUGGACAAUGGGCGAAAGCCUGAUCCAGCCAAGCCGCGUGUGUGAAGAAGGUCUUCGGAUUGUAAAGCACUUUAAGUUGGGAGGAAGGGCAGUAAGUUAAUACCUUGCUGUUUUGACGUUACCAACAGAAUAAGCACCGGCUAACUUCGUG